rnacentral:rRNA from 1 species
CGCCCGCCGCGCGCGGCGGGCUACGGGAGGCAGCAGUGGGGAAUAUUGCACAAUGGGCGCAAGCCUGAUGCAGCCAUGCCGCGUGUAUGAAGAAGGCCUUCGGGUUGUAAAGUGCUUUCAGCGGGGAGGAAGGCGUUGAGGUUAAUAACCUCAGGCGAUUGACGUUACCCGCAGAAGAAGCACCGGCUAACUCCGUGCCAGCAGCCGCGGUAAUA